rnacentral:rRNA from 1 species
AGAGUUUGAUCCUGGCUCAGGAUGAACGCUAGCGACAGGCUUAACACAUGCAAGUCGAGGGGCAGCAUGGUUUGUAGCAAUACAAACUGAUGGCGACCGGCGCACGGGUGAGUAACGCGUAUGCAACUUACCUAUCAGAGGGGGAUAGCCCGGCGAAAGUCGGAUUAAUACCCCAUAAAACAGGGGUCCCGCAUGGGAAUAUUUGUUAAAGAUUUAUUGCUGAUAGAUAGGCAUGCGUUCCAUUAGGCAGUUGGCGGGGUAACGGCCCACCAAACCGACGAUGGAUAGGGGUUCUGAGAGGAAGGUCCCCCACAUUGGUACUGAGACACGGACCAAACUCCUACGGGAGGCAGCAGUGAGGAAUAUUGGUCAAUGGCCGAGAGGCUGAACCAGCCAAGUCGCGUGAAGGAAGAAGGAUCUAUGGUUUGUAAACUUCUUUUAUAGGGGAAUAAAGUGAGGGACGUGUCCCUUUUUGUAUGUACCCUAUGAAUAAGCAUCGGCUAACUCCGUGCCAGCAGCCGCGGUAAUACGGAGGAUGCGAGCGUUAUCCGGAUUUAUUGGGUUUAAAGGGUGCGUAGGUUGUUUUUUAAGUCAGCGGUGAAAGUUUGUGGCUUAACCAUAAAAUUGCCGUUGAAACUGGGGAACUUGAGUGUGUUUGAGGUAGGCGGAAUGCGUGGUGUAGCGGUGAAAUGCAUAGAUAUCACGCAGAACUCCAAUUGCGAAGGCAGCUUACUAAACCAUAACUGACACUGAAGCACGAAAGCGUGGGGAUCAAACAGGAUUAGAUACCCUGGUAGUCCACGCAGUAAACGAUGAUUACUAGGAGUUUGCGAUAGACAGUAAGCUCUACAGCGAAAGCGUUAAGUAAUCCACCUGGGGAGUACGCCGGCAACGGUGAAACUCAAAGGAAUUGACGGGGGCCCGCACAAGCGGAGGAACAUGUGGUUUAAUUCGAUGAUACGCGAGGAACCUUACCCGGGUUUGAACGUAGUUUGACAGGGGUGGAAACACUUUUUCUAGCAAUAGCAAAUUACGAGGUGCUGCAUGGUUGUCGUCAGCUCGUGCCGUGAGGUGUCGGCUUAAGUGCCAUAACGAGCGCAACCCUUAUCACUAGUUACUAACAGGUAUAGCUGAGGACUCUGGUGAGACUGCCAGCGUAAGCUGUGAGGAAGGUGGGGAUGACGUCAAAUCAGCACGGCCCUUACAUCCGGGGCGACACACGUGUUACAAUGGCAUGGACAAAGGGCAGCUACCUGGCGACAGGAUGCUAAUCUCCAAACCAUGUCUCAGUUCGGAUCGGAGUCUGCAACUCGACUCCGUGAAGCUGGAUUCGCUAGUAAUCGCGCAUCAGCCAUGGCGCGGUGAAUACGUUCCCGGGCCUUGUACACACCGCCCGUCAAGCCAUGGGAGCCGGGGGUACCUGAAGUCCGUAACCGUAAGGAUCGGCCUAGGGUAAAACUGGUGACUGGGGCUAAGUCGUAACAAGGUAGCCGUACCGGAAGGUGCGGCUG